CGGACUCCUUCAGCGCGCUGCCUGCCUGCCCAGGGCCUUCCCGGAGAGCAGGUGACGGCGGCCUCCGGGCAUGGAGCUCGCGCUGACGAAAGGUUCUGGAAGCCGCCGUAAAAGCAGUUCUAUGAGGCUGGCUGCCCUGUUUGACAACUGAGGCCCGCAUCUUCCCCGGAAUCACCGACGUGUGGCUCUGAGCCCUGUCCCAGGGAUUUUCUCCAUCAGAGAAGAGGAGCACUUUGAGCUUUGAGAGGAGCAGCCCUCUGCAAGUGAAGUGGAAAAAAAGGAAGCAGGCGAGGAGGCCCAUCCAGACCCUCCCCCAAGACCCUUGCUGAAAUGGCUGGGAUGCGGCGUGCAGAAGCUCUCCUUUCCUUCACAGCCCCUGGCUUUCCAAGAGUCCCUGCCCACCCAGAUGCCCGCUGGCAGAUGCAGCCUCAUCUCAAGGACACUGCUUGCUGGAUAAAUCCCUCACCACCCUAGAGACAGCCCACGGUCCUGAGACAAGGAUGCGGGCCAGGCUUGUUGCACGUAAGCGCCUCCCGCAGAAACCAGUGAGGCCGGAGUUCCAGAGGAAAUGAUGUAGGGACAGAGGCAGAGGGCCUCCAGGAGGCACCAGCCCCAGAGUCUUCCCUAGAAUCAGACUUUAAGCACAAGCAGGGAGGGAAAGCACUUGAGCAGUGCCCGUCCCUGCAUACCUGGCCUCUGCUGGAACCCAUGCAGGGACAGGACACUUCUUUAUCAGCAAUCCUGUUCCUCUCCUGGGCAGCUUCAACCUGAACAUCCUCCUUCACCUUGAGCUAAAAUGGGUUUCUUGUCACCCUUGCCCAUCAAACCUGGCCUUGCCCUCAGGAACCACACAGGACAAGCCUAAUACUUCCUUCUUGUGGCAACACUUUAGCAAUUGAGACCUGGCUGUCAGGUCCUCCAAAUAAACAUUUGUGACUGUGAUGUUGACUUGCCGCUUCUGGGGACCUCUUCUCAUUUGAUCGGAGAAAGUUUUUCAGGGUUAAACCUACUUCUUUCCCCCAAGAAACUCUUCUUGUCAGGCUCACGCCUAUAAUCCUGGCACUUUGGGAGGCCAAGGCAGGAGGAUUGUUUGAGACCAGCCUGGGCAACGUAGGUAGACUAUGUUGCUACAAAAAGAAAAAGAAAAAAUGGCCAGGUGUAGUAGUCCCAGCUGCUUGGAGGCU
rnacentral:lncRNA from 10 species